CGUUUUUCAUACGAUUACCGAAGUUAAGCAAGGUCGAGCUCGGUCAGUACUUAGAUGGAUGACCGCUUGGGAAUACCGGGUACCGUA